GCAACAGCUCAGACUGGUGUUUUCUACUCUGGUUUAAAGCACAGCUCAGACUGCUAUGCACAUGCCUUAACUAACAACCUUGUUGUGUUUGUCACGACGAUGAUGAUGAUGAUGAUGAUGAUGAUAAUAAAAACAACAGUGUUUACACAGCCAUACAUACACACUUCCCAUGGUUUUCAUUUGCGGGAUGGAGAGAGAGAGAGAGGUAGAGGGAGGAACUCUUGAUCUUAAAAGGCGGGAUCACAAUCGUCCCCUAAACGUUCCUAUUGGCUCAUGGGGAUUUUGGAUGAUUGAUAGCAACAUAGGUGUGUCCCAAUCAUCUCUCCUUCCUCCCAGAGUGUGCACUUUGUUCACUUCCCUUCACAGGUUUAAAAAAAAAAAAAGACUGGUAUAAUGAAUAUGAUGAUUCCUACUAACCCAUGCCUCCACCAAUCCAAGGCUUUUGGUUUUGUGAGAAGCAGUGAACGAGUGCACACUUCAUAAGAAAGGAGAUAUUAUUGGGACGCCCCCUAUAUGCUCUCCUCAGUUAGAAGCCAUGUCAGCAAUUCACUAUAUAAACAGGUCUGUCUGUUGUUGAAGAUGGGAGGGACAGUGAUGACAACAGGUUAGUCUGUUGUUGAAGAUGGGAGGGACAGUGGUGAUAACAGGUUAGUCUGUUGUUGAAGAUGGGAGGGACAGUAGUGACAACAGGUCUGUCUGUUGUUGAAAAUGGGAGGGACAGUAGUGACAACAGGUCUGUCUGUUGUUGAAGAUGGGAGGGACAGUAGUGACAACAGGUCUGUCUGUUGUUGAAGAUGGGAGGGACAGUGGUGACAACAGGUUAGUCUGUUGUUGAAGAUGGGAGGGACAGUGAUGAUAACAGGUCUGUCUGUUGUUGAAGAUGCCUUGCCUAGUUAAAUAAAGAGGUUACAUAUAGUGUUCAUACUACCCUAUGGACUCUGGUCAAAAGCAGUGCACUUUUAGGGAAUAGGGUUCUGGUCUAAAGUAGUGCACUAUAUAGGGAAUAGGGUGCCAUUUCGGACCCUGAGCUUGUAGUUUGCAUCCAGAAGAAGUGAUGUCAGAGAGGAAGUGUCCCAAAUGAGACUGAUCUGUCCCUGCUGUUCCCUACCUUGUAUUUACAUGUAUCCCUCUACUAAACCCUCUGAUGUGSCUGUGUCCCAAAUAACACUGAUCUUUCCCUGCUGUUCCCUACCUUGUAUUUACAUGUAUCCCUCUACUAAACCCUCUGAUGUGGGCUUGUGUCCCAAAUGAGACUGAUCCGUCCUUGCUGUUCCCUACCUUGUAUUUACAUGUAUCUCUCUACUAAAUCCUCUGACGUGGGCUUUGUCCCAAAUUACACCAUUUUGCCUAUAUACUGCACUACUGUAAUAGGGAUUAGGGUGCCGCUGAGACACUUCAUCGCCAACUGUCUUGCACAGGAAAUAUCUAUCAGGAUUUCCUUGAUAAUGAAUGUUACAAGCAUAACAUGUAAAAAAACAAAAAACAAAAACAUGAUAUGAUGUAAUUUGUUGUGACAGACAACUCAAUUGAUGGUUCAAUAAAAAUCGUUUUCAGGAUGUUUUGUGACU